AACCAUAGAAACCUGCGGAGUACCUGCGGAGGGAUCAUUAUUGAAUUUUCACAAGAAAAAUGUUGUGCUGCCCUUUCUCUUGAUAGAGGGGACAGUGCAAUGUUUUUCUCAAACAAACUAUCACAACUAACAAGAAAAUUGAUUUGGAUGGUUUGGAAACAAGUGUUUGCCUGAUAAUCAAGAUGAUUUGGAUUGGAAAAAGAAAUACAACUUUCAGCAAUGGAUCUCAGAUCGGAAGAG
rnacentral:misc_RNA from 1 species